rnacentral:rRNA from 1 species
UAUUUAUUUAUUUGUUUAAAUUAUUAAAAAUAAUUAUAUAAUGUAAUGUUUUAGUAUAUAAUAUAGAAAAAAUAAUAUUAAUAAUAGUUUAAUAGUAUUGUGUAAUAAAAUUGAAAUAUUUGAAAAAUUUUUAUUAUAAAAGUAAAUUUAAUUUAUUGUACCUUGUGUAUCAGGGUUUAUUAAUUAAAAAUUAUUUAUUAUAAUUUUCUCGAUUUUAAAAGAGUUAAUAUAUUAUGGAAGUUAGUGUAAUAAAAUUAUUUUUAAUAAUAUAUUAGUAAUGAAAUGUUAUUCGUUUUUAAAGGUAUCUAGUUCUUUAAGAAAUAAAUUUAAUUUAGAAAUUUUAUAUUAUUUAAUUAAGUAAAUUAAUUAAAUAAUUAUUUUAUUUUAAUAUUUUAUGGGAUAAGCUAUAAAAUAAAAUUUUAAAAAUUUAUUAAUUAAUUAAUAAAUAUAAGCUUAGAAAUAGUUAUUAUUAAUAAAAAUGUUAUAAUUUAUUUUAUAAUAAUUAAUUAUUUAUUUGAAUUUUAAAUAUUUAUUAAAGUAUUUAUUUAAAUUAAAAAAAUAAAAAAAUAAUGAUAUAAUUAGUAUAAAUUAUUAUAUAAAUAUUUUUUUGUGAUAAGUUAUUAUAAGGAAUUCGGCAAAAAUAAUGUUCGCCUGUUUAACAAAAACAUGUCUUUUUUUGUUUAUAAAAAGUUUAACCUGCCCACUGAAUAUUUUAAUGGCCGCAGUAUUUUAACUGUGCAAAGGUAGCAUAAUCAUUAGUCUUUUAAUUGAAGGCUUGUAUGAAUGGUUGGACGAAAUAUUAACUGUCUUAAUUAAAUUUUUUUUUGAAUUUAAUUUUUUAGUUAAAAAGCUAAAAUUUAUUUAAAAGACGAGAAGACCCUAUAAAUCUUUAUAUUGGAAUUAUUAUUAUUAUUUAGGUUUAUUUUAUAAUAAUAAUUAAUAAUAUUUUAUUGGGGUGAUAUUAAAAUUUAUAUAACUUUUAAUUUUUAUUUACAUUGAUUUAUGAAUAAAUGAUCCAUUUUUAUUGAUUAAAAAUACAAGUUACUUUAGGGAUAACAGCGUAAUUUUUUUGGAGAGUUCUUAUCGAUAAAAAAGAUUGCGACCUCGAUGUUGGAUUAAGAAAUAAUUUUAGGUGUAGUAGCUUAAAUUUUAAGUCUGUUCGACUUUUAAAUUCUUACAUGAUCUGAGUUCAAACCGGUGUAAGCCAGGUUGGUUUCUAUCUUUAAAAAUUUAAAAUAUUUUAGUACGAAAGGACCUAAUAUUUAAUAAAUUAUUAUUUAAAAAUUGAAUUAAAUUAAUAAUUA